GACCUACGGGGCGCAGCAGUGAGGAAUAUUGGUCAAUGGACGAAAGUCUGAACCAGCCAUGCCGCGUGCAGGAAGACGGCUCUAUGAGUUGUAAACUGCUUUUGUACAAGGGUAAACCUGAAUACGUGUAUUCAGCUGAAAGUACUGUACGAAUAAGGAUCGGCUAACUCCGUGCCAGCAGCCGCGGUAAUACGGAGGAUCCAAGCGUUAUCCGGAUUUAUUGGGCGUAAAGCGUGCGCAGGCGGUUUAUUAAGUCUAAGAUUAAAGCCCGGAGCUUAACUCCGGUUCGUCUUAGAAACUGGUAG
rnacentral:rRNA from 1 species